UACAGAGACUGCAAGCGUUAUUCGGAUUCACUGGGCGUAAAGGGUGCGCAGGCGGCCGCGUGUGUGAGGCGUGAAAGCCCGGAGCUCAACUCCGGAAUUGCACCUCAAACUACACGGCUAGAGCAUUGGAGAGGGUAGCGGAAUUCACGGUGUAGCAGUGAAAUGCGUAGAUAUCGUGAGGAACACCAGAGGCGAAGGCGGCUACCUGGACAAUUGCUGACGCUCAGGCACGAAAGCGUGGGGAGCAAAAGGG
rnacentral:rRNA from 1 species